GGCAGCAGUGGAGAAUAUUUGACAAUGGGCGAAAGCCUGAUCGAGUAAUGUUACGUGGGUGAUGAGAAGGCUUAAUUGCCGUAAAACCCGUUUCGUCAAGGAUUAUAAUGCAAUCGUACUUGAAGGAGAAGCCCUGACUAACUUCGUGCCAGCAGUCGCGGUAAUACGGAGAGGGCUAGUGUUAUUCGCAUUGACUGGGUGUAAAGGGUGCGUAGGUGGUUUAUUAAGUUUCAAAGAAAAUAUUAAGCAUAGAGCUUAAACGCUUUUUAAUACUAAUAGACUAGAGUUUAAAGGAAGAUAGCUGAACAUUAGGUGUAAAGGUGAAAUUUUUCGAGAUCUAAAGGGCAGUCAAUAGGCGAAGGCUGCUAUCUACUCUAAUACUGACACUGAGGCACAAAAGCAUAGGGAUCA
rnacentral:rRNA from 1 species